rnacentral:tRNA from 1 species
GGCCGCUUGGUCUAGUAGUAUGAUUCCUGUUUUGGGACAUUACGUAAAGAUUACGUAAGCCACAUACAGGAGGUCGUGGGUUCAAUUCCCACAGCGGCCC